GACGAACGCUGGCGGCGUGCUUAACACAUGCAAGUCGAACGGAAAGGCGCAGCUUUUGUGGGGUUCUCGAGGGGCGAACGGGAGAGUAACACGUGAGUAACCUGCCCUGGAGUUUGGGAUAACUUCAGGAAACUGGGGCUAAUACCUGCGAGGAGCGCCUGCUGCAUGGUGGGGUUUGGAAAUUUUGGGCGGUUGGGGCUGGAGUCGGGGCUUAUCAGCUUGUGGGGUGGGUAGUGGCUUACCAAGGCUUUGACUGGUAGCCCGCAUGGGAGGGUGGACACCCACAUUGGGCCUGCGAUACGGCCCAGACUCCUACGGGAGGCAGCAGGCGGGAAUAUUGCACAAUGGUGGGAAGCCUGAGGCGGCAACCCCGCGUGCGUGAAGAAGGCCUUCGGGUUGUAAACCGCUUUAGCUUGUGACGAAGCGUGAGUGACGGUAAUGGGUAAAGAAGCACCGGCUAACUACGUG
rnacentral:rRNA from 1 species